rnacentral:rRNA from 1 species
UACGUAGGGUGCGAGCGUUAAUCGGAAUUACUGGGCGUAAAGCGUGCGCAGGCGGUCUUGCAAGACAGGUGUGAAAUCCCCGGGCUUAACCCUGGGACUGCACUUGUGACUGCAAGGCUGGAGUACGGCAGAGGGGGAUGGGAAUUCCGCGGUGUAGCAAGUGAAAUGCGUAGAUAUGCGGAGGAACACCGAUGGCGAAGGCAAUCCCUGGGC